rnacentral:ncRNA from 1 species
GGAGCCGUUUUCGGCGCAAGUGAAAUACCACUACUUUUAACGUUAUUUUACUUAUUCCGUGGGGCGGAGACGGGGCAUUGCCCCUGUUUUUGGACUUAAGACACGUUUUGACGGGUCGAUCCGGACGGAAGACAUUGUCAGGUGGGGAGUUUGUCUGGGGCGACACAUCUGUUAAAAGAUAACGCAGGUGUCCUAAGAUAAGCUCAAUGAGAAUAGAAAUCUUGUGUGGAACAAAAGGGUAAAAGCUCAUUUGAUUUCAAUUUUCAGUACGAAUACAAAUCGUGAAAGCGUGGCCUAUUGAUCCUUUAGACUUUCAUAAUUUGAAGCUAGAGGUGUCAGAAAAGUUACCACAGGGAUAACUGGCUUGUGGCAGCCAAGCGUUCAUAGAGACGUUGCUUUUUUAUCCUUCGAUGUCGGCUCUUCCUAUCAUUGUGAAGCAGAAUUCACCAAGUUUUGGAUUGUUCACCCACCAAUAGGGAACAUGAGCUGGGUUUAGACCAUCGUGAGAUAGGUUAGUUUUACCCUACUGAUGAACCACGCCGCAAUAGUAAUUCAACUUAGUAUGAGCCAGUGGCGCGAAGCUACCGUGUGUUGGAUUAUGAAUGAACGCCUCUAAGUCAGAAUCCACGCUAGAAGUGGCGCUUGUCACUCCUCGGCUGUAUAUUGACCCACAGUAGGGGUGUCGCUUCGGCACCCCCAGGGGCCCGUGUCACUUGCGAACCUCAGCUGGGAAGCAUCUCGGUUGGGGCAGCUUUGAAGUUCAAUUUCAAAUGGUCGAUGAGAAGAAUCCUUUGAAGACGACCUAAAUACGUGGCGGAGUAUUGUAAGUGGCAGAGUGGCCUUCCUGCCACGAUCCACUGAGAUUCAUCCCUUCGUCGCCUCAAUUUAG